GCCCUUGAAAUAAAUCAAAGGUGAAACCUGCCCAGUGAUAAUUAGCUAUAAAUUUUAAUAAAAUUUUAAUUUUAUUAAACGGAUGCGGUAACUCUGACUGUAAUAAAGUAGCAUAAUUAGUUGUCAUUUAAUUGAUGGAGAGAAUGAAUGGUUAUACGAGCAUUUCAUUGUCUUAAUUAAAAAUUUUUAAAAUUAAAGUAAUAGUGAAGAUGCUAUUUAAAAUCGUAAGACGAAAAGACCCUAUAGAGCUUUACUAUAAUUUUAUGAUGAUAUUAAAUAAAAUUUUUAUUAUUAUUAAUAAGAUUGGUAGUUUAGUUGGGGCGACUGUCUUUUAUAUUAAACAAAGAUAAGCAAUUAUUAAUAGUAUUAAUUUAUUGUAUAAUUUAUAAAUUUAACAAUUAUUAAAAUAGGCUAUAAUGACCCGUUAAAUUAAUUAAUAAUAUUUAACGAUUAAUAAAUAAAAGCUACCUUAGGGAUAACAGGAUAAUUUUGUUUUAGAGUUCUUAUC
rnacentral:rRNA from 1 species